rfam:Giardia intestinalis strain GS GS_B_0019, whole genome shotgun sequence.
GGGCGGUUAGCUCAGUUGGUAGAGCGCUUGCCUAGCAUGCAAGAGGCCGGGGGUUCAAAUCCCUCAUCGUCCA